CUGCGUCUCCCUCUGCUCACGCGCUCCCCUGUUCAUCUCACUGCGCAUGCAGCGGUGUUCGGCUCCAGCUCGCCGGACCUCCCUGCCCAGCUCCCAGCGUCGAGCUUACCUCUGUCCAUGCCGCGCGCCCUUCCUGCUCGCCGCGUCGCGCCCCAGCUCUCUGGCGUGCCGAGCUCGCCCUACGCGCGCUACAAGUUUCCUUCUCCAAUCGCCGCGCGCCGCGCACGCUGCUUCCUGGAGCUCGGCCGUGACCUCGCCGUCGUUCAUCAGCUCCAGCGCACAGCCGAACUCCCCUGCCUCCCAUGGCCGAGUGUCCAGCUCCCUUGUUCCCUGAUUUCUGCGCGCCGCACGCGCCUCUCCCCGAGCUCGCCCAAAUCAGACAGUGUCUCCCUCAGCUCGAUCCCUGUCGUGAAGCUUUCUGGCUCGCCGGCGUUUCACCCGUGCGCGCACGUUCCUGCCGAGCUCGGUCCUGUCCAUCUUGCCGCGCUCGCCGACGUCGCGCUCUGGAAUCCGGUGUCUUCCUCAAUACGCUCCUCCCAAGUCCCAAGUCCCACACGCGCCCUCAUCCUCUCAGCUCCCUACAGAAAUAUCCCAGCUCGCGCCCUCCCUGCUCUCCCCUCGGUGCCGCGCCCAGCUUCUCCUCCCCAUGGCCGCGGCUCCCUAGCGCUCGCCUAUCUGCUCGCGACGCACGCCCAGCCUCUCCCACUCGAGUUCCUCUGCUUCUUCCCCCUGUGUCACGCCCUGGCCAUGGACAUCGGUAUCGACGAGCUCACCCUGAGUUACCUGGCCUGA
rnacentral:misc_RNA from 1 species